GAUGAACGCUGGCUGCGUGCCUAAUACAUGCAAGUCGAGCGAAGCGGGGACGGGGGAGUAACACGUGGAAAACCUCCUUUAAGACUGGGAAAACUUCGGGAAACCGGAGCUAAACCGGCUAAUGAGAGAUGGAUGCGGGAUGGAUUAGCGAGUUGGUAAGGUAACGGCUUACCAAGGCAACGAUGCAUCGCCGACCUGAGAGGGUGAUCGGCCACACUGGAACUGAGACACGGUCCAGACUCCUACGGGAGGCAGCAGUGGGGAAUCUUCCGCAAUGGGCGAAAGCCUGACGGAGCAACGCCGCGUGAGUGAAGAAGGUCUUCGGAUCGUAAAACUCUGUUAUUAGGGAAGCGGUACCUAAUCAGAAAGCCCCGGCUAACUACGUGCCAGCAGCCGCGGUAAUUC
rnacentral:rRNA from 1 species